AAUUUGCUUCAGGGCGAGGUGCAAAUCCUCACCGGCGGUAUAGUCCGCGAACACGCGAUGCGUGCCGACAAGGUGCAAUUCCUUGACCGACGGUAUAGUCCGGACGAAAGAAGCGACGU
rfam:Firmicutes bacterium CAG:475 genomic scaffold, scf14